AUGAACAACCAACGAAAAAAGACGGGUCGACCGUCUUUCAAUAUG
rfam:Dengue virus type 1 isolate P72-1244, complete genome